rnacentral:rRNA from 3 species
CAACUUUUAACAACGGAUCUCUUGGUUCUCGCAUCGAUGAAGAACGUAGCAAAGUGCGAUAACUAGUGUGAAUUGCAUAUUCAGUGAAUCAUCGAGUCUUUGAACGCAUCUUGCGCUCAUUGGUAUUCCAAUGAGCACGCCUGUUUCAGUAUC